AGAGUGAACNAGCUAACUGAAAAUCACAAAAACACAAAUAGUGCUUAUUGUGAUAACGUAAGGGAAAAAAAUGAUAUCACCUUACUAUAAGUGUUGUCUAAAUAACUGGUGCCAGAAGACUCGGUAACACCAGAAACGCGAACGUUAGUCGUCUUAAACAGGCGUAAAGGGUAAGUAGGCUGCUUUAAAUUCUAUUUUUAAAUUAAGCUAAUUAGUAAUAUUCCCCCCUCACUAGAAAUAAGGGGAGGGCCAAGACUAACGAAAAAAAGUUUUCAGACCUGAAAUUCUAAAUUAAGGCUAACAAAAAUUGAAAAUAGGUAACUAUUAGGUCCGCAGACUUUAUAUAGUAUUUAUUACUAAAUGGAACAAAAAUAGAUAUAUUUAAAGCUAGAAUCAUAAUUGAGAUAAACCAAAUAAUACUUAUGUGUAAGGGCGAUAUCUGUAAAUACUAAGUAGAAUACUAACGGUGAAAACUUUUUAUCUGGUAAUGAUUGACGCUGAGGUACGAAAGUGAGAACACGGAAUACGAUUAGAUACCCAGUUACCUCUCACCGUCAACGAUGAAUGGUAGUUGUUAGUUUAAUUAAAUUAGUGACGAUGUUAACGCNAUAACCAUUCCGCCUGAGAGUACGGUUGCAAAACUGAAACCAAAAAAUACUCAGACUCGGAGCAAACGGAGUGAGCCAUGGUAUUAUCAUAUC
rnacentral:rRNA from 1 species